CCAAACACAGGACGCAGACACGGAGCUUUUCCAUUUACUCACUGGAUGGACUGGAUGGAUGUCUCGCGAGACCAUGGAUCUGCCCCUGGAAAGUCUUGUCCGAGGAUACAUGUGGUCAGACCCUGGGGAUUUAUCCACCUUUCUGUGCCUCAACGCGGCCAGCACAUCCCUUUUCAUUAUGUCCCAUGUGAGGAAAAUCAUUGACUGUUCUGCCAACAAAUUUCUUGGUAGCGAGUAGUGAGGUUUGCUUCUAGUCUUGAACGUGAUUCUGGAACUGUUGGAGCCCAUGUUUUGCAAUUUGGAGACCGCUUGGGUGCUUCAGUGCUCUGCGGUCUCCAAGAGGAUUCUGGGAAGCAGAGGUGGUGUGUGAACCUCGCGGCGACAAGGCUGCAGGAUGGCACGUGAGCUGAUAUUUGACCCCUUUUUGGCGAUUACGGUUUCCAUUAUUCGCCAAUUAAGGCGACAACGGUGAUUGAAACAUCAAGGUGAGUGCGGAAGUUUGGAAAUCGUUUAGAUGUCCCAGAGCUCUGCAGUCUCAGAGAGGAUUCCGGGAGGUUGAAGCAGUGUGUACGAACCUUGUACUGGGCAAGCUGAAGGCUGGGGUGCGAACUGAUGUUUGGCUCCAUUUUGAUGAUUAAAGCUCCCAUUGUUCACCGAUUAAAGUGACAAAGGAGAUUGAAGCGUCAAAGUGAGCGCAGAGUGUGAGCACCAGCUGCUUGCCUCUUGAUCGGUUGCUAUGUGCCAAAGAAUGGAGUGCCUGCCGCUGUGCCCGGAGAG